AUGGAGGAUACAAGGAAGCAUCUCUCCUAUCCUUUGGUAUAUCGGCUUUUGAAGCUAGCACUGACUCUCCAAGUUGCCACUGGCAAUGUUGGGACAUGUUUUCCAGCUAUGAAUAUUGUGAAGAAUGCUUUGCGUGACAAAAUUGGUGAUGAUUAUUUAAGUCAUAGCCUAAUUUGCUUCUUGGGCUUUUGCUCAAAAGCAACAAUAGUUCUACAUAUACAUGACACCACUCUUAUUCUCAUCCAUCACAUUGCACAGAGAAAUGACGACUAA
rnacentral:rRNA from 1 species